UACGUAGGGGGCAAGCGUUGUCCGGAUUUAUUGGGCGUAAAGCGCUCGCAGGUGGUUCGUCGCGUCGUGCGUGAAAGACCCCGGCUCAACUGGGGGGUGUCGUGCGAUACGGGCGGACUGGAGGCCAGUAGGGGGAUGCGGAAUUCCGGGUGUAGUGGUGGAAUGCGUAGAGAUCCGGAGGAACACCGGUGGCGAAGGCGGGUCUCUGGGCAGUAACUGACGCUGAGAAGCGAAAGCGUGGGGAGCGAACAGG
rnacentral:rRNA from 1 species